rnacentral:rRNA from 1 species
AGAGUUUGAUCCUGGCUCAGGAUGAACGCUAGCGGCAGGCUUAAUACAUGCAAGUCGAACGGGAUUUAGGGUAGCAAUACUUUAAUGAGAGUGGCGCACGGGUGCGUAACACGUAUGCAACCUACCUUUAACUGGAAGAUAGCCCCGGGAAAUCGGGAUUAAUAUUUCAUAACAAUGCGCGAUGGCAUCAUCAUGCAUUUAAAGCUCCGGCGGUUAAAGAUGGGCAUGCGGGACAUUAGCUUGUUGGUGAGGUAACGGCUCACCAAGGCGAUGAUGUCUAGGGGUCCUGAGAGGGUUAUCCCCCACACUGGUACUGAGAC